AUAGUACUCCCUCCGUCUCAAAAUUCUUGUCUUAGAUUUGUCUAAAUACGGAUGUAUCAAGUCAUGUUUUAGUAUUAGGUACAUCCGUAUCUAGAUAAAUCUAAGACAAGAAUUUUGGGACGGAGGGAGUAUAUA
rnacentral:pre_miRNA from 1 species